rnacentral:rRNA from 1 species
UUUAGAUUGAAGGAGCUUGCUCCUGAUUGAUAAACAUUUGAGUGAGUGGCGGACGGGUGAGUAACACGUGGGUAACCUGCCCUAAAGUGGGGGAUAACAUUUGGAAACAGAUGCUAAUACCGCAUAAAACCUAACACCGCAUGGUGUAGGGUUGAAAGAUGGUUUCGGCUAUCACUUUAGGAUGGACCCGCGGUGCAUUAGUUAGUUGGUGAGGUAAAGGCUCACCAAGACCGUGAUGCAUAGCCGACCUGAGAGGGUAAUCGGCCACACUGGGACUGAGACACGGCCCAGACUCCUACGGGAGGCAGCAGUAGGGAAUCUUCCACAAUGGACGAAAGUCUGAUGGAGCAACGCCGCGUGAGUGAAGAAGGUUUUCGGAUCGUAAAACUCUGUUGUUGGAGAAGAAUGUAUCUGAUAGUAACUGAUCAGGUAGUGACGGUAUCCAACCAGAAAGCCACGGCUAACUACGUGCCAGCAGCCGCGGUAAUACGUAGGUGGCAAGCGUUGUCCGGAUUUAUUGGGCGUAAAGCGAGCGCAGGCGGUUUCUUAAGUCUGAUGUGAAAGCCUUCGGCUCAACCGAAGAAGUGCAUCGGAAACUGGGAAACUUGAGUGCAGAAGAGGACAGUGGAACUCCAUGUGUAGCGGUGAAAUGCGUAGAUAUAUGGAAGAACACCAGUGGCGAAGGCGGCUGUCUGGUCUGUAACUGACGCUGAGGCUCGAAAGCAUGGGUAGCAAACAGGAUUAGAUACCCUGGUAGUCCAUGCCGUAAACGAUGAGUGCUAGGUGUUGGAGGGUUUCCGCCCUUCAGUGCCGCAGCUAACGCAUUAAGCACUCCGCCUGGGGAGUACGACCGCAAGGUUGAAACUCAAAGGAAUUGACGGGGGCCCGCACAAGCGGUGGAGCAUGUGGUUUAAUUCGAAGCAACGCGAAGAACCUUACCAGGUCUUGACAUCCUUUGACCACUCUAGAGAUAGAGCUUUCCCUUCGGGGACAAAGUGACAGGUGGUGCAUGGUUGUCGUCAGCUCGUGUCGUGAGAUGUUGGGUUAAGUCCCGCAACGAGCGCAACCCUUAUUACUAGUUGCC